CGGCAACCAAUCCGUCCAUAAAUGGCAUGAAACCCCGUCCGCACGAUGAUACUUGAGUUUGUUCUCGUUCGCAUGCCAUGAUUGAUUUGAGUGUCCCAAUGAAUCAGUGAAUUCGUUUGGGUUGAGACGGAGGUAUGUACUUCAAUCUGAUAUUCUACCGUUUAAUUGAUUACUGGGAAAUUUUACGAUUCCGCGGCCGUAAGAUUUGAAAAUUUCCAUCUCAUUGAUUUUCUCGCAAUUUUCUGACUAACCAAACACCUCAUUCCCCUUUCACUUCCUUUCUAUCUCCUUUUUACAACCAAUGUCUACUGGAAACUGUGAUUUUCUGUUUUAUUCUUUUCCUGAAGUUUCUCGAAAACCAAUCUCCAUGGCUGCCAGCAACUCUUCUGCUUCGAGUCUUCCAUGGCUUUGGAUAAUCGAAUUUCUGUCAAGUUGCAAGCAAGUUGACACUUCCCUUUUAAAUGCUUUAAUUAGGAGCACCCCAGAUUUCUCUGAUCCUUUAGGGAAAAAUGCAAGGGAAAUGGCCAGCCUGAGAUGUUUGGAGGAUUUGUUUGCUACUAGUAACUCAAAGGACGUUCCUUCUGCUGCGGGUUCAAAAAUUGGGUUUGAUUUUUCAGAGAACUGUGAAGAUGUUUUCAUGCGCAUUAUUAAUGAGAUGCAAACUACAAAUUGGAGAAUCGCCGGACCAGAUUUGUUGAAAUGGGAUGUCCACCCUUUUAUUACCCAUAAGAGAGCUUGCUUGCCGAAAUCUUCCCUGGAACAGAUGAAAGAUACAAUAAUUGAAGGUAGCCACCCAUUGCCUGCAUUCUCAAAGGAGAGGGGACUAGUGUGUGGAGAUCAGUGUGACAUGGGAAAUUCUGGGGUUGGUGGUAGUUCUAAUGCAACUGCGUUGAAGCUUGAUAGGAGUAGACUCAAUGAUGAAAGAGUGGCAGAAAAGGGUAAGUUAGUUCCUCCGAUCCUUGAAAACGGAAGUGAGCCAUUGCCACAAGAUACGCCUAAUAGAAAUUUGCUACCCUCCAAAAGAAAUAGGAUUGAUCUGGUCACUGAAAAUCCAGAGGAACAAUACUGUGAAAAGCAAGUUGACACUAACCAUGAUGGUGAUCUUCGUUCACACUCUAAGAAGCUCAGGCAAGGUUCCUCUCAUACCAGUUUGUCUGUCGGACAAAAUGAGGUUACUCGACAUGGAAAUGAAUUGUUAGAAGAAUCAUCUACAAGAAUAGUACAAUCCACUGGAGGAAAAAGGAUUGAGCUGGAAAAAGCUCUCUCAGUUGAUGAGGCCAAAGAUGAUGGUAAGCCUCCUAGUAGAGCUCAGCAAGAAAUUUCUGAUGACGAAACCAGGGAUUACAGGGAGCAUAAUUUUCAACAAGGAACGCCAAAUGGUGCACUUUUGGACAGGUCCUGCAGGAAUAAUUUUCCUAAUGAAAUGGAUCAUCGGUCUGAACCGGAGAUGAUGAGUGAUAGUGAUGAAUAUCACGCUGAGGAGAUUGAUAUUGUUAAAAAGAAGCAUAUUUUCUUGAGUUCUCAAUGCACGUCCAAUCACGAUUCCUUGGAAAUAGAUGACUUUGCAGAGCUAAGUGUUUGUAUGAAGUGUAAUAGAGGUGGUCAGUUGUUGGUUUGUUGUGCCAGUGCCUGUCCAUUAGCGGUUCAUGAAAAUUGCUUGGGUUUCGCAGCCAGCUUUGAUGUGCAGGGAAACUUUUACUGCCCCUUUUGUGCAUAUUCUCAUGCCAUCUCAGAGUACCUUGAAGCAAAGAAAAAAGCCACCUCAAAAAGGAAAGAACUGGGUGGAUUUAUCGGUUUGCAGAUUGAAAAUCAGAAAGAGAGACACCCCAAAAUAUUGCACAGGAAAAAACAGAAUAAAACAAGAAAAGAGAGGCAUAUUAAGGAAAGCUAUCUAGCAAAUAAUGGAGGCCUUGUAAAUACAGCCAACCCCCAAUAUGGAACUACAGAAGACAAACAAGAAGCAGAUGUAUAUGUGGAGGAAAGUUUAGUGAAUUAUAGAGGCCAUUUAAAUAUCGUCAACCGUCAAUAUCGAAGCAUAGAGGAUGAACAACAGGCAGAUGGAUAUGUGAAGGAAAGCGAUCUCAAAAAUGAUGGAGGACUUGUAAAUAUAGUGAAUCCUCAACACAGAAUUAUAGAAGAUAAACCACAACCAGAUGGGCAUAGAGAAGAAAGUGGGUGUAUGGAAGGUAGACACAAAGCAGAUGGAGACCAUGCGAAUACAGUCAACCCUCAACAUAUAAGUAGAGAAGAUGUACAACAAGACCAAGAACUAGCUGAUCCUAAGUGCAAUAUUGGUAGUCAAAGACAUGCCGAAGUAGGAAUUAAGCAGGGAGUUUUGCAACAACACAAUACUAACUCACCACAACAUGCUGCUUCUCUGUCAAAUAUUGAUGCCGAGGAAACUUCCACAGCAAAAAAUGAUAUUUACAUUGAUUCUCGUUACUCCAUGAGAGAUCGAAAACAAGAAAGGCAUUAUGCAUAUAAUAUUCCAAUCCCUCUGUUGAGGCGAAAGAAGCUUGCAUGGACAGCAGAGGAGGAAAAGAUGCUGAAGGAGGGAAUGCAUAAAUUUUCAAGUGUUCAGGACGGAAAGUUUCCAUGGAAGAAGAUUCUGGAGUUUGGAGAAUCUGUGUUUCAGAAAGGUCGAACAACAAUAGACCUAAAGGACAAGUGGAGGAACAUGUGCAAAUCAAGCCCAAAGUUAGAAUGAAGUUCUAUCAAUCAGUGUAUUCCAUAUUUACAGAUCAAGUACAGGUUCCAGUGACGAAUUCAUGAAGUUCUGGAUCAAAGGCAAAGAUCGGACUGAGUAGACGUCGUGUAGGAAAGAUCGUAUGGACACUCAUAGGGAAAGGAUUCAAGCACACCCAAGGAAGCUUGAUCUAGAAUUGUUUAUUUGUAAUGGGGAGUGUUUGAGGUUUCAAUUAAGAAUGAGUUCGAACCAGACUGCCAAGCCAGUACUCAAAAUUGCAUCCACCUUGGGCAGAAACUGCACUUUUAAUGGUCCUGAAGCUUUCCAGGGAUGAAAUAUACAUUCUGCUCACCACCUGACUGGGUUUGCUUUGUGUAGAAAUAAACUGAUGGUAAUUUGCAAGUCACCUAGAGCAUGGAAGUUCAUGGAAUGGGAAUGGGAUCAUAUUAGGGCAUAUGCCUUGAGAUGUGGAACAUAAAAGGGUAUACUUCUUUAGAUUGGUGAAAAUUUUGUAACGGCACUAGUAUAUUUUGGAGAGGAUAUAAAGGUCUAUUUAUAUCUGAAA